rnacentral:lncRNA from 1 species
AAAAACCUAACCCCAUUCUCUUCUCCCAAAAUCAAAUGCCCAGACGAGACACUCAUGGAAAAAACCGGCAAGACACAAUCAAUCACAGCACACUUCAUCAACUUCACCUCUUCAAAAUCCGCCUCCAAUUUGACAGCAAAAACCCAAAUCUUCGAAUUCGAAACAGAAUACAUGGUGAAAAAAUUACUCCCACCCCCUAAUUUCACCGAAACGCCAUGAGAAACCGUGAAAACAGCGCCAUACUUGUUAUCAUCGAACCUCAAAUCCCUAUGGUUAGAUCGAACCUUGAGCUUCACAAACGCCUUCCGGGUAGGAUGAAA